rnacentral:rRNA from 1 species
GAUUAUCGGACAAUGGGCGCAAGCCUGAUCCAGCCAUACAGCGUGGGUGAAGAAGGCCUUCGGGUUGCAAAGCCCUCUUGUUGGGAAAGGAAAGCAGUCGGCUAAUACCCGGUUGUUCUGACGGUACCCAAAGCAUAAGCCCCGGCUACAUUCGAGCCAGAAUCCGCGGUAAUACGAAGGGUGCAAGCGUUACUCGGAAUUACUGGGCGUAAAGCGUGCGUAGGUGGUUGUUGAAGUCUGUUGUGAAAGCCCUGGGCUCAACCUGGGAAUUGCAGUGGAUACUGGGCGACUAGAGUGUGGUAGAGGGUAGUGGAAUUCCCGGUGUAGCAGUGAAAUGCGUAGAGAUCGGGAGGAACAUCCAUGGCGAAGGCAGCUACCUGGACCAACACUGUCACUGAGGCACGAAAGCGUGGGGAGCAAACAG